rnacentral:rRNA from 1 species
UACGGGGGGGGGCAAGCGUUGUUCGGAAUUACUGGGCGUAAAGGGCUCGUAGGCGGCCAACUAAGUCGGAUGUGAAAUCCCCAGGCUCAACCUGGGAACUGCAUCCGAUACUGGAUGGCUUGAAUCCGGGAGAGGGAUGCAGAAUUCCAGGUGUAGCGGUGAAAUGCGUAGAUAUCUGGGAGGAAUACCGGUGGCGAAGGCGGCAUCCUGGACCGGCAUUGACGCUGAGGAGCGAAAGCCAGGGGAGCAAACGGG